UACGUAGGGAGCAAGCGUUGUCCGGAAUCAUUGGGCGUAAAGCGCGCGUAGGCGGCCCCGUAAGUCCGCUGUGAAAGUCAAAGGCUCAACCUUUGAAAGCCGGUGGAUACUGUGGGGCUAGAGUCCGGAAGAGGCGAGUGGAAUUCCUGGUGUAGCGGUGGAAUGCGCAGAUAUCAGGAGGAACACCGAUGGCGAAGGCAGAUCUCUGGGCCGUAACUGACGCUGAGGAGCGAAAGCGUGGGGAGCGAACAGG
rnacentral:rRNA from 1 species